rnacentral:rRNA from 1 species
UGAGUAACCUGCCCUUCACUCUGGGAUAACUCCGGGAAACCGGGGCUAAUACUGGAUAUGACUCGAACAGGCAUCUGUUUCGGGUGGAAAGAUUUAUUGGUGGAGGAUGGACUCGCGGCCUAUCAGCUUGUUGGUGAGGUAACGGCUCACCAAGGCAACGAUGCGUAGCCGACCUGAGAGGGUNAUCGGCCACAUUGGAACUGAGACACGGUCCAGACUCCUACGGGAGGNA